AUUGAACGCUGGCGGCAUGCCUUACACAUGCAAGUCGAACGGCAGCACGGGAGCAAUCCUGGUGGCGAGUGGCGAACGGGUGAGUAAAGUAUCGGAACGUGCCCAGUCGUGGGGGAUAACGUAGCGAAAGUUACGCUAAUACCGCAUACGAUCUAUGGAUGAAAGCGGGGGAUCGCAAGACCUCGCGCGAUUGGAGCGGCCGAGAUCAGAUUAGGUUGUUGGUGGGGUAAAGGCUCACCAAGCCGACGAUCUGUAGCUGGUCUGAGAGGACGACCAGCCAAACUGGGACUGAGACACGGCCCAGACCCCUACGGGAGGCAGCAGUGGGGAAUUUUGGACAAUGGGCGAAAGCCUGAUCCAGCCAUGCCGCGUGCAGGAUGAAGGCCUUCGGGUUGUAAACUGCUUUUGUACGGAACGAAAAGGUUUGGCCUAAUAAGCUGAGCUCAUGACGGUACCGUAAGAAUAAGCACCGGCUAACUACGUGCCAGCCGCCGCAGUAA
rnacentral:rRNA from 1 species